GCUCUAUCCACUGUGCCACCUACCUGCCCCUGCACUGGAGCUUUGAGCUGGGGCACAGAGUCUCCUGCAGGUGAGUGCUAAGGACUAACACUCUCACCUAAUCAUAGAACCACCAUAUCUCUCAUCUUCAUCAUGCUGCCUCCUACAUUCCUUCACCUUUUUAUUGCCUCUUCUCCCAGGACUCAGGUCUGGGCCGGCUGAAACCCAAUGUGCUAGUCUUGGAUAUAAGCAUGAUUGGCAAGAGGUGCCCACACUUGCAAUAAAGGACUACAUGUUUUUGGACUCUGAAGGAAUGGAUGCCUUGGAGAAAGGGGUGG
rnacentral:lncRNA from 1 species